rnacentral:misc_RNA from 1 species
GAUGAAGAACGUAGCGAAAUGCGAUAAGUAAUGUGAAUUGCAGAAUUCAGUGAAUCAUCGAAUCUUUGAACGCACAUUGCGCCCGCCAGUAUUCUGGCGGGCAUGCCUGUUCGAGCGUCAUUUCAACCAUCAAGCUCUGCUUGCGUUGGGGAUCCGCGGCUGCCCGCGGUCCCUCAAAACCAGUGGCGGGCUCGCUAGUCACACCGAGCGUAGUAACUUUACAUCGCUAUGGUCGUGCGGCGGGUGCUUGCCGUAAAACCCCCCAAUUUUUAAGGUUGACCUCGGAUCAGGUAGGAAUACCCGCUGAACUUAAGCAUAUCAAAAGCGGAGGA